UACGUAGGGUGCGAGCGUUAAUCGGAAUUACUGGGCGUAAAGCGUGCGCAGGCGGUUGUGCAAGACAGAUGUGAAAUCCCCGAGCUUAACUUGGGAACUGCAUUUGUGACUGUAUGGCUAGAGUAUGGUAGAGGGGGAUGGAAUUCCGCAUGUAGCAGUGAAAUGCGUAGAUAUGUGGAGGAACACCGAUGGCGAAGGCAAUCCCCUGGACCUGUACUGACGCUCAUGCACGAAAGCGUGGGGAGCAAACAGG
rnacentral:rRNA from 1 species